GGGUCAGUAGGUUGGUCGUGCCACCGGUACGUACUGGUCUCACUGAUUCCUCCUUCCUGAAGAAUCGUAAUGCCAUUAAUUUGGUGUUGCGGGGAAACAGGACUGUUACUUUGAAAAAAUUAGAGUGUUUAAAGCAAGCUAACGCUUGAAUACAUUGGCAUGGAAUAAUGAAAUAGGACGAUCGAUCCUAUUUUGUUGGUUUCUAGGAUUGACGUA
rnacentral:rRNA from 1 species